rnacentral:rRNA from 1 species
GAUGAACGCUGGCGGCGUGCCUAAUACAUGCAAGUCGAGCGAACAGAUGAGGAGCUUGCUCCUCUGACGUUAGCGGCGGACGGGUGAGUAACACGUGGAUAACCUACCUAUAAGACUGGGAUAACUUCGGGAAACCGGAGCUAAUACCGGAUAAUAUAUUGAACCGCAUGGUUCAAUAGUGAAAGACGGUUUUGCUGUCACUUAUAGAUGGAUCCGCGCCGCAUUAGCUAGUUGGUAAGGUAACGGCUUACCAAGGCAACGAUGCGUAGCCGACCUGAGAGGGUGAUCGGCCACACUGGAACGGAGACACGGCCCAGACCCCUACGGGAGGCAGCAGUAGGGAAUCUUCCGCAAUGGGCGAAAGCCUGACGGAGCAACGCCGCGUGAGUGAUGAAGGUCUUCGGAUCGUAAAACUUUGUUAUUAGGGAAGAAAAAAUGUGUAAGUAACUAUGCACGUCUUGACGGAACCUAAUCAGAAAGCCACGGCUAACUACGUG